AACGAACGCUGGCGGCAGGCUUAAUACAUGCAAGUCGAACGCCCCUUUCGGGGGGAGUGGCAGACGGGUGAGUAACGCGGGGGAACGUGCCCAAAGGUAGGGAACAAAUCCGGGAAACUGGAGCUAAUACCCUAUGUGCCCGAGAGGGGAAAGAUUUAUCGCCUUUGGAGCGGCCCGCGUUGGGUUAGCUAGGUGGUGGGGUAAAAGCCUACCAAGGCGACGAUCCAAAGCUGUUCUGAGAGGAAGAUCAGCCACACUGGGACUGAGAAACUGCGCAGACUCCUACGGGAGGCAGCAGUAGGUAAUCUUGGACAAUGGGCUCAAGCCUCAUCCAGCCAUGCCACGUGAGUGAUGCAGGCCUUAGGGUUGUAAAACUCUUUCGCAGGUGACGAUAAUGACGGUAACCUGAGAAGAAGCCCCGGCUAACUUCGUGCCAGCCGCCGCCGUAA
rnacentral:rRNA from 1 species